rnacentral:lncRNA from 1 species
CCCCAACCAGACUACUUUCUUCAUAGUGCACAAUUGAAAUUGGAGUACACUCGGGUUUCCUUACUUUGAAAAAGCUCAGAAGGAGCAUUUACAUCUCCUAGUGAAAGACUGCAGAAUGGAGCUGAAAUUAAGUUAUUAGAGUUCACGAUUUGUCUUGGCCCAGAGCCUAAUCCAGUUUAUAAUCCAAGAUCUAUGUUGGAGUCUCUGCAUCAGGACAUGAGCCAUAGACCCAAGAGAUUUUCACACAAGUGAUCACACCCUUGACAAGCUGGCUGAAGUUCAAUCCUAAAAGGCCAAACAGUUUGUCUGCAAUAGACAGAGAAGAUAAGACUUCCUGACAGAAGUCUCUUCAUUUAAUUGUGUAAUCCUCCACACUGAUCAAGGAAGAAAACUUAGGGUCAUUGCUCAGUGAAUUGCCUUACAAUGCACGACAAUUACAUUGGAAGCAAAACAAAGGUACCAGCUUAUAAAGAGAAAAAGAAAAAAGAAAAAAGAAAAAAAAAA